rnacentral:lncRNA from 1 species
UGGAUGNUGAUCUAUUUUGGAAUUUCCAAAGUAAUGGAGACAGGCUUCAAUGUGGGGAUUGAUGGCCCUUGCCAUUUUUGUGUCUUUAAUGAUUAUUUAUGAUCAAACUAUGAUAUGGAAUGAUAUGAAAUUUUACUUGCUUUUACUUUACAUAUACUAUAGUUUGAAUCUUUUCAUUCCGCUAAUCCAAGUUUUAUGGAUUCACAAUUUUCCCAGCUAAUACAUAACCUGGCUGAUUUACAGGACUUGAA